GACGAAGGGGGCUAGCGUUGUUCGGAAUUACUGGGCGUAAAGCGAGUGUAGGUGGUUGUCCAAGUUGGAUGUGAAAGCCUUGAGCUCAACUCAAGAAAUGCAUUCAGGACUGGGCGGCUAGAGGACCGGAGAGGAUAGUGGAAUUCCCAGUGUAGUGGUGAAAUACGUAGAGAUUGGGAAGAACACCAGUGGCGAAGGCGGCUAUCUGGCCUGUUCUUGACGCUGAGGCGCGAAAGCUAGGGUAGCAAACGGGG
rnacentral:rRNA from 1 species